rnacentral:misc_RNA from 1 species
GGAAGUAAAAAUCGUAACAAGGUCUCCGUUGGUGAACCAGCGGAGGGAUCAUUACAGAGUUGCAAAACUCCCAAACCAUUGUGAACGUUACCUAUCCCGUUGCUUCGGCGGGCGGCCCGGGCCCCGCGCCCGGCGCCCCCCGGCCCCCCGUGGGCGCCCGCCGGAGGUAAACCAAACCCUUGAAUUGCAUGGCCUCUCUGAGUCUUCUGUACUGAAUAAGUCAAAACUUUCAACAACGGAUCUCUUGGUUCUGACAUCGAUGAAGAACGCAGC